AGGGCAUUAGCAAAGUUGGUAGCGCGCUACAUUCGCAUUGUAGAGGUCAGCGGUUCGAAUCCGCUAUGCUCCACCA
rnacentral:tRNA from 1 species